rnacentral:rRNA from 1 species
CUGCUGCCUCCCGUAGGAGUCUGGGCCGUAUCUCAGUCCCAAUGUGGCCGGCCAACCUCUCAGUCCGGCUACUGAUCGUCGCCUUGGUAGGCCGUUACCCUACCAACUAGCUAAUCAGACGCGAGGCCAUCUCUCAGCGAUAAAUCUUUGGUACAGAUACCAUGCGAUACCCGUACGUUAUGCGGUAUUAGCAGUCGUUUCCAACUGUUGUCCCCCACUGAAAGGCAGGUUCCUCACGCGUUACUCACCCGUCCG